rnacentral:rRNA from 1 species
UACGUAGGGUGCAAGCGUUAAUCGGAAUUACUGGGCGUAAAGCGUGCGCAGGCGGCUUUGCAAGACAGAUGUGAAAUCCCCGGGCUCAACCUGGGAACUGCAUUUGUGACUGCAUGGCUAGAGUACGGUAGAGGGGGAUGGAAUUCCGCGUGUAGCAGUGAAAUGCGUAGAUAUGCGGAGGAACACCGAUGGCGAAGGCAAUCCCCUGGACCUGUACUGACGCUCAUGCGACGAAAGCGUGGGGAGCAAACAGG